GCAAGACUUCUGUAUUCUUUUUCUUGUGACCAUGUUACUGCAGAAAUUGGUUUUUGACCCGUCAACAGCUCAACUAGGACCACUCCAAAGCUAUAGACGUCACUUUUCUCCGUAAAUUGGCUUGAUUGAAAGUACUCUGGGUCCAAGUAACCAAAAGUUCCAUGUACACAUGUGGUCAGAUGAGUUUGGUCAAUGGAAAUUGAUCUUGAAGUUCCGAAAUCAGCAAUUUUUGCUCUGUAUUUUCUAUCUAAAAGUAUGUUGGCAGACUUGAUGUCUCUGUGAUAUAUGGGAACGGAAGCUGCACCAUGCAAGUACGAAAGAGCUCCUGCAACUUCUGUGGCAAUUUGCAACCGCAUUUCCCAUGUGAGUGUGAAUUCCUCAAUCUGCCCUUGGAUAUAUUGAGAAAGAGUUCCAUUCGGUAUGAAUUCGUAGACCAAAAGUGGAACUUCGGUCUCUAAACAACAACCCAUAAUUUGAACCACAUUUCUGUGGUUGAUUUGUGAAAGAAUUACAAUCUCAUUGAUGAAAUCCGAGAGUUUGCUUGUGUCCACCAUUUUGGACUUCUUUACCGCAACAAUUCUUCCAUCCGCCAACAUGCCUUUGUAAACGGUACCUUGACCUCCCUGGCCAAGAAUUCUAUCAAUACUAAAAUUGUUGGUGGCCUUUUCUAAUUCCUUCGAAUUGAAUAACUUGAUUUUGUCAACAUUAACUUCGCCAGACGAUAACUGUUGCUCUAGCAAUAAACCACCAUUUCGUUUGAAAAACAUUUUCUUGCGUGCAAUGGUUUUCUUUAUCUUCACGAUUUUGUGUACCAACCAUGCACCAAUGAGCAGUAACCAUACCCCAACACUGGAGCCAAGACCUGCAUCAAUAGGUAUUGAAUUAUAUCUAAACACAAAAACAUUUAGAACAACACUGUAACCAAAAAAAACUUUUGAAUAAUAUUACCAUAAUAGGUGGAAGAUGCAUAUAUUAUUAUUUUGAGAGAUGUAAGAAGAUAGGAGUACUAUAUACCUGAAAUAAUAGCUAGGAUUACAGUUUUAGAGGCCCGACCCGAUGUGGUUCUGAAGUGGCAUGCAAGGUCCGAAGCAAAAUGUGUACAUCUACGGCCAUUUAAAUUUGAGUAGCAGCUAUAACCCCCAUCCAAAUUCUCACAUACAUCGCCUACUUCACACUUACUACUGCCUUUGCAUUCAUCGAUAUCUGAAAUGAUGAUGACCCGAGAUACGCUUCAGUCCAAACUCACACAUAUAAGAAUCGCAUAUGUUCGAAUGUUGUCAAAAGGCGAAAAGAUAAUUAAUACUAAUUAAACUUUCUGGUACUAGAAUAAACUCAAUUCCAAUAGUAGUUUUGUACUUAUUUUUUUGAAGUUUUGGAUGUGUGACUUUACGUUCUUCGAUAGAGAUAUAAUAGACCAGUUCAAUAAUCUAGAUUAUUAAGAUAAACAUAUAUUUAUACAUAACAAAAGAAAAUAAAUUGCAAAAAGGUUUUGAACCAGAAUGUAUAUUUAAAACUGGUGUGUUUCGCAACAGAAGUUUGGAACUACAAAUAAUUUCACAAUUUCGACCAAAAAAAAAGGUAAUUUCACAAUUAAUGGUUGAACUUAAAAAGAUAGGCUUCAAAUAACAUUUUUGUCUGCGAAACCUUGUGUAAAUGUGACCAGCCAAGGCCACCCGAUUGGAACAUGGACUCGUUCAGUGUUUGCAGAAACCUGGGGAUGGUGAGGAAAAUUAAUAGUGCUGGUACAUGGCUAAUAAGGAGGUCAGCAUUUGUCUAAUGACAUGUUUUAGAUGCCAUUUCAACUCGUGUAAAAUACCUAAUGGGGCUUUGGGCCACAUCCAAAUUAUAUUCAUUAAAGUAAGCCCCCAAACGAACUGAUCCACUCAUCUCUUUUGAAAACAUUUGAUAAAAACAAGGUUUCACAGACAAAAAUGUUACUUGAAGUCUAUCAAUCUAAAUCCAGAAAGAAGAGAUUCAGUUUGCGUACCUUGACAAGGUUGGAGAAGAUAAGGAUUUCCUUCCAUGCCCGGAGGACAGACACAAAUCAUUAUGGUCCCAUUGUAAUCGUUAUUGCUGGUGCAAAGGGAUGUUGAUUGGUUAGCGUCAGUCAGGUCUGGUUUUUCUCUGAAUCUUUCACCAUAGUCAUGUACGUUUAACAUCCAGUCUAGCACCACAGGAACGCUGUCCAUAUCCUUCACGUCUCGAAACGUUAAGUUAUUCGCAAACCAAUUGUGGUCAACCAAAAAUGCAUACUUGCAAUCACCCAUUGGAUCUGACUUUGUUGAUGAAUUUGAUGGUAUCUCAAUACUAAGAUUGGUGAGUUCAUAAGUUAGAAGAGUACCUUGGCAACAGCCAUUACCUUCAUUGCAGUUGUCAUAGUCGCCGUCUGCAUUGUUUUGACAAAUCGACCCGCAUCCAGCGACAGGCCCAUGAUCUGAACGCAUACGGGCAAAGAGGUCACAACCCACUGCAAUGAAUAUGUUGUCUGUCCGAGAGUAAAUGAAAGGACUGCCCGUCAAAUUCUGGGGUUGGCGAGUUUCCUUUCCCUCGCAGCUGAAGAAAGUAAUUGGGUUCUUAACCUGAACCGAUUGCACGCCAUAAUCAUUAAACGGAAAAAUACUUAGCAGCUCCAGGUUGACGCUCUUGAGGAAAGGUGCCUGUCUGCUGUAAUUAGCUGAGGUUGUAGAGUUGUCGUGCCUGCAAUCUAUUUGAAACCAUUCAUCUAAGUAACAAUCUUUGUGAGGUCCAAUCCCGAAAGGGUAUGGGAUGGCAAUGUCUCCACAAUGCGUUGUGCAAUUAGGCUUUGCUAUAGGCGCUGAUGCUGCACUAGUUGUUGCAGCUCCAUAGCAACAACUUAGUAUUAUUAUGCGCCAUAACAACAGAAUAAUGGAUAUGAUAUUCAUUAUUUAUCAAACUGAUUUGCAGAGUUUGAUUUUUGCAGUCCAAAUUGAUGUAUAUCAAACUUUAUAUAGCUCCCAAAAAAGGAAAAAGGAACAUGGUUACAUUUCGUUGAUUUGUGCACACAUGAAUUUGCAUGGAAAUUAUAGUGUACAUUAUUGUUUAUAGCUAGCCAUGUUUGACUCAUGCUAUAUAGAGAAUUGGUCUACAAAUUAUAAAAUUAUUAUGAGUAAAGGAUCAUUUUUUUGUAUUAAACAUGUUAUGGGCUUGUUUAGUCAUAAUAUGGAUAUGUUGCCUAACUUGGAGGAUGAAUGGAGACUAUUUAUAAGAGGUUGAUGAUUAAAACUUAUCGCCUUGCAAAUGGUCAUUGACUAUCUACAAGAUGACUAGUCAACUAUCAAGCACACAAAUUCAGAAAAUUGUUCACAACAAAACCAGAAAAUUGUUCACCCAGAAACCCACAACUGGGAAAAACUAGGGGUAAUUAUCCGACCAGGCAAUCCACUAAGCAAAGAAGAUUCUUACAGAAAAUACACAAGCAAGCUAAAGAAAUCCUAGAUCUAUUUAGGAAACAAGCUAUACCUCCUUUGUGCAAUCUUCUUCUCCAACUUAGUUAAGCUAGUAGCUAGUCCGUCAUGUAAGUGACAGCUAGUCCAUCAGCUCCUUCACUCCAUAGCACCGGCGACUCAGCUCCAGAUCGAACAAACAUAAUGAAAUGUAGAUUCUGAGAUGAAAAGGUCAAUUCCUUCAAGAAACCGUACUCUUGAAGAAAUCAACCAAGAAUUUGAUCUAGACUAGGAAUGAUGACUAGUCAUAAUGAACCCAGAUGACUAGUCAUAAUAAACCCAGAUGCAGACAAAGAAGAUGACUAGUCAUAACUGAACCCAGAUGCAGAUUAUAAAAAGCAUAGCAGAUUUUAAAAAACAUCAAAAUCUCACAAUGAAAAACCUUAGAAAAUGCAUAGUAUAAGUUUUACUCUCAAAAUUUCUCAAUGGGUGAAGUAGAUUUCGAAAAUAAAAGCAUAUUUCAAAAGCUAUUUGAAAACCAUAUUUGAAAACUCAAACCAUACCCAGCUGCAAAUGCAGAGAAGAAGAAGACCACUCUCUCUCUCUCUCUCUCUCUCUCUCUCUCUCUCUCUAAAAAUUAUAUCAGAAAUUGUAAAUGAGAGAGAUGGUGAGUCCAGACCAGCCCUAACCUUUUUGGUAGGUCAGAAGUACACUUGGUAGCCAAUGAUUGGACUUACAAUAAGCAAAAUCAUGUGCCUUGGUCAAAAAUCCCGUGCUGGAAAUAUUGGCCCAAAUGACUAGUCAUCUCGACAAACCUAUAUGCUGAUUUGGCCUAUAUGACUAGUCAUCUCGACAAAGUAUAUGGAUGCAAAUGCUGAUUUCCCUAUUUAUGCUCAUUAUAAAUGAAUGCACAAAUUACCAUGGUUUUGUAGCCUCAUAAGCUUUUCAAUGUACUUCAACUUUGUAGCAAAUACCCAAUGCCUAAUUUCUAAAGAUGAGCUAAGAGGAAUUACAUGAAAGUGUACAUUUGGCAAGGAAAGCCAAUUCUAACAAUCUUAAAACUAACAAUUCUAUAUAGUUGACAAAUCAUUGUAUAACUAGGAGAUACUAUCCUAAUUGAUUACUGUAUCUAUUUCCUUGUAAAACAUUCAUGCAAACUCCUAUAUAUAUCUCCUUAUGGAGAAAAAUAAAACUCAACCCAAAUUAUUCAAACCAUAUUCAAAUUUUAGUAUGGUAUCAGAGCAAUCGAUCCUAAAUUGUCUGUAAACCCUUAUCUCAAAUUUCUCAUAUUCAAAUUCAAAAUUCUAAAUCAAGUUCCUCAUAUUUUUUCCCAAAUCCAAAUCUCUCAAAUUUUUCCCCAGAAUUAUGCAGAGGAAGUUUUGCGGCCUGCUGUGAUGGGUAACUUUUUGCAGUCAAAGAACAAUGAAGAACCUUAUCGUGCACAGUUCCCUAUCCACAAGCUUCUAGUGUAAUUAAAUUAAUUAUAAAGAUAAAUUGGCACCUGAAAAAUGGCUCCUUUACGGAAACAUCAUUUUUAUCACCUUGGUAUGGGUUUUAAAACUGUUGCAGUGACAACUGUCUGAACCAGAGUGAAGGAUUUCUCCAUUUUCAUGAAUUGGGGUUUGGGAAACAAAAGACAGAACUAGUGAUAUUCGCGAGAGUGAGAGAAAGGCAUUUGAGCUUUUGGAGUUUUAAAGGGUUUUGACGCAAAAGUCAAAAAUAAAAAAUAAAAAAUAAAAAUAGUGGAACUCCUUGAAGUUUUUGAUGUUUUUUUUUUGGGCAGAGUUUUUGAUGUUUUUACAGACUUUUGAGGUUUUGAGCUGAAACAAAAUGAACCGAAAAAUACUGAAAAUUUUGAUUUUGGCUUCAACUAUUUCGAUAACCAAACCAAGUAUAUUAACGAUGGCCUAUAUGUGAUAUAUAAGCCAUUUUUAUUAUGACUUUAAAAUUCUAACUUCCUGCCAGUGGGUUCUGACCACGGUGGUGGUGGAUUCCCCCUCCCCUCAUGGCACCUGAAGUUAAACCCUUCUAAAAGAGCUAAAAAAGCUUCUAGCAAUGUUUGCUAGAAAAGUUGUUAGAAGGGCUUCUCCCUCAUCUUCAUUACGGUCUCAAGCCCCCUCAUUUUCCUCAGUUUCACACCCUCCAUCCACGUCUCCAACACCAUCAACCAUUAUCUUUUUAGUUGAAUCUCUUUGAAUUCAUUGAUGGAUUAAUGGAUGGGAGGGAGUUGAGUUUUAUUUUUGGGCUUCUAGUGAUGAUAAGACAAAGCCAAACAAGAAAAUGUUGAAAAUUUGGAAAUUUGGAAAUGUUGGAUUAGUGGAUGGGAGGGAGUUGAGUUUUAUUUUUGGGCUUCAACUUUAAAUUAGAAAAUAGCUGCAAAUUUGGUUUAUACACGAAAUUAAGCUUCUUUUUUUUAUGUUUUAUUCCCAAGUACAAGUGUUGAAGUAACGAGAUCAUAAGAAAAACAUAACAUAUGUGUUCAACAACGUUAAAUGAAACAAAGUUUAUUCAAUUAAAAGGAAUUCACCAUAAUUUGUAGAUGGCAACAAUGGCAUAAACCCAUGUUUUUAGAAGCUAGAUGACACUUCUUGAAGUGAUUCAACAUCCCAAUGCCUAACUGAAUCAUCUUCCACAAAAUCAACCCCUUCAGAAUUUUGCUGGGCACUAAUGGAAGGUUUUCUUGAUUUUUGUACAGCCUCUAGCUCAGAUGUAACCUCUCUCAUUGUAGGACGGUUUCUUCCAUUCAAAUUCAAGCAUCUCCUUGCAAGGUUAGCGACAACUUGGAUUUCUGUUUCAGAGCCCUCCUUCAGAACUUGAGCAUCAACAGUGUUAAACAGACGAUCUUCUUGCAUCGAGGUAAGAAAUAUGCGGCAAGACUUCUGUAUUCUUCUUCUUGUGACAAUGUUACUACAGAAAUUGGUUUUUGCCCUGUCAAGAGCUCAACAAGGACCACUCCAAAGCUAUAGACAUCACUUUUCUCCGUAAAUUGGCUUGAUUGAAAGUACUCUGGGUCCAAGUUAUUGGAGUUUCUAUAUAAUAGCAUGUGUUCUUGCACAGAAAGUAUAUGAGGAAACGUUUCAGAGAGAAAAG
rnacentral:lncRNA from 1 species